UUUCCGUAGGUGAACCUGCGGAAGGAUCAUUCAUAAUAAGUGUUUUAUGGCACUUUUUUAAAUCCAUAUCCACCUUGUGUGCAAUGUCAGGGUUGAUUUUUCUCUCGAGAGGAACAGCCCCAAACAUCAACUAUAUCUCAACUCUUUGUCUGAAAAAUAUUAUGAAUAAAACAAUUCAAAAUACAACUUUCAACAACGGAUCUCUUGGCUCUC
rnacentral:misc_RNA from 1 species